rnacentral:rRNA from 1 species
GAACAAACUGGCGCNUGCUUACCAUGCAAGUCGUACGGGCGGGGGUGACCUCGUCAGUGGCGGACGGGUGAGUAACGCGUAGGUAUCUGUCCAUGUGGGUGGGGGAUAACCGUGGGAAACUGCGGCUAAUACCGCAUAUGUCCUGAGGGGCAAAGGCCUGAGAGGGUCGCCUGAGGGUGAGCCUGCGUCCGAUUAGCUGGUUGGUGGGGUAAUGGCCUACCAAGGCGAUGAUCGGUAGCUGGUCUGAGAGGAUGGUCAGCCACACUGGGACUGAGACACGGCCCAGACUCCUACGGGAGGCAGCAGUGGGGAAUAUUGGACAAUGGGCGAAAGCCUGAUCCAGCAAUGCCGCGUGGGUGAAGAAGGUCUUCGGAUUGUAAAGCCCUUUCGGCGGGGACGAUGAUGACGGUACCCGCAGAAGAAGCCCCGGCUAACUUCGUGCCAGCAGCCGCGGUAAU